AUUGAACGCUGGCGGCAGGCCUAACACAUGCAAGUCGAGCGAGCGGCGGACGGGUGAGUAAUUUAUGGGGACUCCCCGAUAGAGGGGGAUAACUACUGGAAACGGUGGCUAAUACCGCCCACUGUCGGAUAACCCACGUGGGAUUAGCUAGUAGGUAAGGUAAUGGCUUACCUAGGCGACGAUCCCUAGCUGGUCUGAGAGGAUGAUCAGCCACACUGGAACUGAGACACGGCCCAGACUCCUACGGAGGCAGCAGUGGGGAAUAUUGCACAAUGGGCGAAAGCCUGAUGCAGCCAUGCCGCGUGUAUGAAGAAGGCCCUAGGGUUGUAAAGUACUUUCAGUGGGGAGGCGUUACCGGCAGAAGAAGCACCGGCUAACUCCGUGCCAGCAGCCGCGGUAAUUC
rnacentral:rRNA from 1 species